rnacentral:rRNA from 1 species
GACGAACGCUGGCGGCGUGCUUAACACAUGCAAGUCGAACGGAAAGGCCCUGCUUUUGUGGGGUGCUCGAGUGGCGAACGGGUGAGUAACACGUGAGUAACCUGCCCUUGACUUUGGGAUAACUUCAGGAAACUGGGGCUAAUACCGGAUAGGAGCUCCUGCUGCAUGGUGGGGGUUGGAAAGUUUCGGCGGUUGGGGAUGGACUCGCGGCUUAUCAGCUUGUUGGUGGGGUAGUGGCUUACCAAGGCUUUGACGGGUAGCCGGCCUGAGAGGGUGACCGGCAACAUUGGGACUGAGAUACGGACCAGACUCCUACGGGAGGCAGAAGUGGGGAAUAUUGCACAAUGGGCGGAAGCCUGAUGCAGAAACGCCGCGUGCGGGAUGACGGCCUUCGGGUUGUAAACCGCUUUCGCCUGUGACGAAGCGUGAGUGACGGUAAUGGGUAAAGAAGCACCGGCUAACUACGUG